GAGGGGGACAAAGAACGCCACGAAGGAGCCAACCAGCACAAAGUUAUUAUCAGUCAGCAGGCAGCUCCCAUCUUUGAAGACCUUGGAGUGGUCUCUGAGUCCCAGAACAGGGAUAGGCAUCGAGAUCCCUAGUGAAAUGGUCCAGA